rnacentral:tRNA from 1 species
GGCGCAUUCGUCUAGUGGCCUAGGACGCUGGCCUCUCACGUCGGUAACAGGGGUUCAAAUCCCCUAUGCGCUA